UAGAGUUGUAAAACUCCCAAACCCAUGUGAACAUACCUCUGUUGCCUCGGCGGCCUGCCCGGCGGCUACCCUGUAGCAGCCCCGCGGUCCGCCGAAGGACUACAAAACUCUUGUUAAUUUUUGUCAAUCUGAAUAAAAAACUUAAUAAGUUA
rnacentral:misc_RNA from 1 species